rnacentral:rRNA from 1 species
UACAGAGGUCUCAAGCGUUGUUCGGAUUCAUUGGGCGUAAAGGGCUCGUAGGCGGUCUGUCACGUCGGGAGUGAAAACUCAGGGCUUAACCCUGAGCCUGCUUCCGAUACGGGCAGACUAGAGGUAUGCAGGGGAGAACGGAAUUCCUGGUGUAGCGGUGAAAUGCGCAGAUAUCAGGAGGAACACCGGUGGCGAAGGCGGUUCUCUGGGCAGUACCUGACGCUGAGGAGCGAAAGUGUGGGGAGCGAACAGG